UUAAGUUAUUAAGGGCGCACGGUGGAUGCCUUGGCACUAGAAGCCGAUGAAGGACGUUACUAACGACGAUAUGCUUUGGGGAGCUGUAAGUAAGCUUUGAUCCAGAGAUUUCCGAAUGGGGAAACCCAGCAUGAGUUAUGUCAUGUUAUCGAUAUGUGAAUACAUAGCAUAUCAGAAGGCACACCCGGAGAACUGAAACAUCUUAGUACCCGGAGGAAGAGAAAGAAAAUUCGAUUCCCUUAGUAGCGGCGAGCGAAACGGGAAGAGCCCAAACCAACAAGCUUGCUUGUUGGGGUUGUAGGACACUCUAUACGGAGUUACAAAGGACGACAUUAGACGAAUCAUCUGGAAAGAUGAAUCAAAGAAGGUAAUAAUCCUGUAGUCGAAAAUGUUGUCUCUCUUGAGUGGAUCCUGAGUACGACGGAGCACGUGAAAUUCCGUCGGAAUCUGGGAGGACCAUCUCCUAAGGCUAAAUACUCUCUAGUGACCGAUAGUGAACCAGUACCGUGAGGGAAAGGUGAAAAGCACCCCGGAAGGGGAGUGAAAUAGAACCUGAAACCGUGUGCUUACAAGUAGUCAGAGCCCGUUAAUGGGUGAUGGCGUGCCUUUUGUAGAAUGAACCGGCGAGUUACGAUUUGAUGCAAGGUUAAGCAGUAAAUGUGGAGCCGUAGCGAAAGCGAGUCUGAAUAGGGCGUUUAGUAUUUGGUCGUAGACCCGAAACCAGGUGAUCUACCCUUGGUCAGGUUGAAGUUCAGGUAACACUGAAUGGAGGACCGAACCGACUUACGUUGAAAAGUGAGCGGAUGAACUGAGGGUAGCGGAGAAAUUCCAAUCGAACCUGGAGAUAGCUGGUUCUCUCCGAAAUAGCUUUAGGGCUAGCCUCAAGUGAUGAUUAUUGGAGGUAGAGCACUGUUUGGACGAGGGGCCCCUCUCGGGUUACCGAAUUCAGACAAACUCCGAAUGCCAAUUAAUUUAACUUGGGAGUCAGAACAUGGGUGAUAAGGUCCGUGUUCGAAAGGGAAACAGCCCAGACCACCAGCUAAGGUCCCAAAAUAUAUGUUAAGUGGAAAAGGAUGUGGCGUUGCCCAGACAACUAGGAUGUUGGCUUAGAAGCAGCCAUCAUUUAAAGAGUGCGUAAUAGCUCACUAGUCGAGUGACACUGCGCCGAAAAUGUACCGGGGCUAAACAUAUUACCGAAGCUGUGGAUUGUCCUUUGGACAAUGGUAGGAGAGCGUUCUAAGGGCGUUGAAGCAUGAUCGUAAGGACAUGUGGAGCGCUUAGAAGUGAGAAUGCCGGUGUGAGUAGCGAAAGACGGGUGAGAAUCCCGUCCACCGAUUGACUAAGGUUUCCAGAGGAAGGCUCGUCCGCUCUGGGUUAGUCGGGUCCUAAGCUGAGGCCGACAGGCGUAGGCGAUGGAUAACAGGUUGAUAUUCCUGUACCACCUAUAAUCGUUUUAAUCGAUGGGGGGACGCAGUAGGAUAGGCGAAGCGUGCGAUUGGAUUGCACGUCUAAGCAGUAAGGCUGAGUAUUAGGCAAAUCCGGUACUCGUUAAGGCUGAGCUGUGAUGGGGAGAAGACAUUGUGUCUUCGAGUCGUUGAUUUCACACUGCCGAGAAAAGCCUCUAGAUAGAAAAUAGGUGCCCGUACCGCAAACCGACACAGGUAGUCAAGAUGAGAAUUCUAAGGUGAGCGAGCGAACUCUCGUUAAGGAACUCGGCAAAAUGACCCCGUAACUUCGGGAGAAGGGGUGCUCUUUAGGGUUAACGCCCAGAAGAGCCGCAGUGAAUAGGCCCAAGCGACUGUUUAUCAAAAACACAGGUCUCUGCUAAACCGUAAGGUGAUGUAUAGGGGCUGACGCCUGCCCGGUGCUGGAAGGUUAAGAGGAGUGGUUAGCUUCUGCGAAGCUACGAAUCGAAGCCCCAGUAAACGGCGGCCGUAACUAUAACGGUCCUAAGGUAGCGAAAUUCCUUGUCGGGUAAGUUCCGACCCGCACGAAAGGCGUAACGAUUUGGGCACUGUCUCAACGAGAGACUCGGUGAAAUCAUAGUACCUGUGAAGAUGCAGGUUACCCGCGACAGGACGGAAAGACCCCGUGGAGCUUUACUGUAGCCUGAUAUUGAAAUUCGGCACAGCUUGUACAGGAUAGGUAGGAGCCUUUGAAACGUGAGCGCUAGCUUACGUGGAGGCGCUGGUGGGAUACUACCCUAGCUGUGUUGGCUUUCUAACCCGCACCACUUAUCGUGGUGGGAGACAGUGUCAGGCGGGCAGUUUGACUGGGGCGGUCGCCUCCUAAAAGGUAACGGAGGCGCUCAAAGGUUCCCUCAGAAUGGUUGGAAAUCAUUCAUAGAGUGUAAAGGCAUAAGGGAGCUUGACUGCGAGACCUACAAGUCGAGCAGGGUCGAAAGACGGACUUAGUGAUCCGGUGGUUCCGCAUGGAAGGGCCAU
rnacentral:rRNA from 1 species